UUUGCUGUCAUUCAUGCAUCUGUGAAUUAUUUAUAUAUGAGGCACAGAAGUGAUGUUUAUACCAGUCCAGUAGUGUAUUUACCAUUUAUCAUUGUAGCUAAAAUAGCAAACAGGAGAAAGUCAGUAAUAGACAUCUACAAGGUAGGAAAUUGUGUGCAAUGUGAUGAGUGAUUCCUUCCUUGCAUGCUGAUGGGAAGGGGUGCCUAAUCCGGCACAUAAGUCUGGGGCUCUCUACAGGCGACUAGAAGGCAUUCUAAUAGAAAGGAAAGGUUUGCUUUAUGAUGGGGUUAUAGUAUAUUGGCACCCUCUUGAUGCUCUUGACUGAGUCUCCUGGGGUCCGGAGUGUUUGAAAAAAUGUAAGUGUUCAAAGCAGGCCGGUUGCCUGAAUACUUCAGCUAGGAAUAAUGGAAUAGGACUCCGGUUCUAUUUUGUUGGUUUUCGGAACCGGGGCCAUGAUUAAGAGGACGGCCAGAGGCAUUCGUAUUGUGCCGCUAGAGGUGUCAUUUUUGGACCGGCGCAAGACGAACCAAAGCGAAAGCAUUUGCCAAGAAUGUUUUCAUUAAUCAAGAACAAAAGUCGGAGGUUCGAAGACGAAACGAUACCGUCAUAGUUCCAAUCAUGAACAAUGCCAACUAGCUAUCCAGCGGCGUUAUUCCCAUGACCGCCGAACAGCUUCCGGGAAACCAAAGUCUUUGGGUUCUGGGGGGGGGUAUGGUUGCAAAGCUGAUACUUAAAGGAAUUGACGGAAGGGCACCACCAGGAGUGGAGCCUGUGGCUUAAUUUGACUCAACAUGGGAAACCUCACCCGGCCCGGAUACGGAAAGGGUUGACAGAUUGAUAGCUUUUUCUCGAUUCUGUGGGUGGUAGUGCAUGGCCGUUCUUAGUUGGUCGAGUGAUUUGUCUGGUUAAUUCCGAUAACGAACAAGACUCCUCCAUGCUAACUAGCUACGUGACCCCCAGCGGUCGACGUUCAACUUCUUAGAGGGACAAGUGGCAUUCAGCCACACAAGAUCGAGAAUAACAGGUCUGCGAUGCCCUUAGAUGUCCGGGGCUGCACGCGUGCUACACUGAAAGGAUCAGCGUGUGUCUACCCUUCGCCGACAGGUGCGGGUAACCCAUUGAACCCCGUUCAUGAUAGGGAUUGGGGAUUUCAAUUAUUUCCCAUGAACGAGGAAUUCCCAGUAAGUGUGGGUCAUAAACUCGUGUUGAUUAAGUCCCUGCCCUUUGUACACACCGCCCGUCGCUACUAUUGAUUGGAUGGUUUAGCGAGGCCCUCGGCUCAGCCCCACUAGGGUCGGCAACGGCCCUGGCAGAGCACCGAAAAGACGAUCAAACUUUACUAUCUAGAGGAAGUAAAAGUCGUAACAAGGUUUCCACAGGUGAACCUUCGGAAG
rnacentral:rRNA from 1 species